GGUGAACGCUGGCGGCGUGCCUAAUACAUGCAAGUCGAGCGAACGGACGAGAAUCUUGCUUCUCUGAUGUUAGCGGCGGACGGGUGAGUAACACGUGGAUAACCUACCUAUAAGACUGGGAUAACUUCGGGAAACCGGAGCUAAUACCGGAUAAUAUUUUGAACCGCAUGGUUCAAAAGUGAAAGACGGUCUUGCUGUCACUUAUAGAUGGAUCCGCGCUGCAUUAGCUAGUUGGUAAGGUAACGGCUUACCAAGGCAACGAUGCAUAGCCGACCUGAGAGGGUGAUCGGCCACACUGGAACUGAGACACGGUCCAGACUCCUACGGGAGGCAGCAGUAGGGAAUCUUCCGCAAUGGGCGAAAGCCUGACGGAGCAACGCCGCGUGAGUGAUGAAGGUCUUCGGAUCGUAAAACUCUGUUAUUAGGGAAGAACAUAUGUGUAAGUAACUGUGCACAUCUUGACGGUACCUAAUCAGAAAGCCACGGCUAACUACGUG
rnacentral:rRNA from 1 species